CUCCCUGUUACACCAAUUCUCUCAUAAUAUGUGCAUGGAAUAUAUUUUUGUGCGAGCAAAUGACCAUUACUCUUUUAUAUUUAUGAUGGAUUGUUUGUAUUUAUGAUGAACUGUAGUGUUUAUAUUUAUGAUUGAUGAUUUACAGCUUUAGUGUGUGAGAAUGUACCAUCCCAGCAAGUAUGCAUUUUUAUUGAUGAAAAGUGAGCCUUUUUUUAGAUUGAGAUUUAUCCUGCACUGUAUCUAUC
rnacentral:lncRNA from 1 species